rnacentral:pre_miRNA from 1 species
GAGAUACCCUUAUGGGGCAAGACUGGCUUCAGUGGGGCUUUGGUGCUCACUGAGUCUGCCCCCUGAGUGUGUCCCU